rnacentral:lncRNA from 1 species
UUGGGUCUUCAUCUACUCUGCUUCGACCAUAAUCCCGAAGACCAAUAGGGCGGAAUACCCUUCUCGGUCAGUCAAUCAGGAAAAUGACUGUUGGGUCUUCAUCGAUCCCGAGGAAGGCCUCGAGACAUGUCUUUAAACUGUAGACUUCUUUCUAACUUGAUCGGUCUGUCAGUCUGACCACUUCGGUAUAGGAUUCUAAGCAGUAUGCCUUCUACCCUUUUCCGACCAUGGUCAGG